UACGGGGGGAGCAAGCGUUGUUCGGAUUUACUGGGCGUAAAGGGCGCGUAGGCGGUCAGCACAAGUCAGUUGUGAAAUCUCCGGGCUUAACUCGGAAAGGUCAACUGAUACUGUGCGGCUAGAGUGCAGAAGGGGCAACUGGAAUUCUCGGUGUAGCGGUGAAAUGCGUAGAUAUCGAGAGGAACACCUGCGGCGAAGGCGGGUUGCUGGGCUGACACUGACGCUGAGGCGCGAAAGCCAGGGGAGCGAACGGG
rnacentral:rRNA from 1 species